UUGGAAGAACAAGCAGAAAAUAGUGACAACGAGCUCUCACUUGUACGUCAAGAAUUGCUAGAAAUAAAAAAAUUCAUCUUCACAGAGAUACCUCAGAUAAAAGAAAUGCUCAAUAGCUCCAUGCACCUCGGCAGUCCAGGGUCUCUCCCCAGCCCUUCAAACCCUGUUCAAAUAGAAGAAAUUGUCCCGGGUUCAGGUGUUUACGU